CAGAUAGGUCUAUUUAAGUCUCAGAUGUUGGUUAAGACUUCAGUUGUGGAAGGAACCAUGGGAGGUGUUUGGAUUCUGAUCUUGUGCACAGUGAUGUUUUGGCCUGAAGGCUUUUGCUUGCCAGUUGAUCAAAAUGGAGUACGCUAUGAAAAGCAAAAGACUGGAAACUUCAUUUUUCAAAAUGAAAUUUCUCUGAAAAAGCCAAUAGCUGUUGUCCAGUCAGUGGGUUCCAAGUUGAUGUACACUUCUAAAGAAGUUCAAUUGGAAACCAGUGAAGUGGAACUUCUAUGUUGUGACCACCCCCACAAUAUAUCAGGCUACACAGUGAC